rnacentral:rRNA from 1 species
AGAGUGAACCACCUGAUCCCUUCCCGAACUCAGAAGUGAAACCUCUUAGCGCUGAUGGUAGUGUGGGGUUUCCCAUGUGAGAGUAAGUCAUCGCCAGCU